GCUUUGCCUGCUAUCUCUUACCCAUGUCUUUUGAGUACCUUCGUUUCCUCGGCGGGUUCGCCCGCCGAUUGGACAAUUUAAACCAUUUGCAGUUGCAAUCAGCGUCUGAAAAAACUUAAUAGUUACAACUUUCAACAACGGAUCUCUUGGUUCUGGCAUCGAUGAAGAACGCAGCGAAAUGCGAUAAGUAGUGUGAAUUGCAGAAUUCAGUGAAUCAUCGAAUCUUUGAACGCACAUUGCGCCCCUUGGUAUUCCAUGGGGCAUGCCUGUUCGAGCGUCAUUUGUACCUUCAAGCUCUGCUUGGUGUUGGGUGUUUGUCUCGCCUCCGCGCGUAGACUCGCCUCAAAACAAUUGGCAGCCGGCGUAUUGAUUUCGGAGCGCAGUACAUCUCGCGCUUUGCACUCACAACGACGACGUCCAAAAGUACAUUUUUACACUCUGAC
rnacentral:rRNA from 1 species